GUGCUCACUUUGGCAGCACAUAUACUCAAAUUGGAACGAUACAGAGAAGAUUAGCAUGGCCCCCAGACAAGGAUGACACACAAAUUCAUGAAGCAUUCCAUAUUAAA
rnacentral:snRNA from 1 species